rnacentral:rRNA from 1 species
CCUACGGGCGGCAGCAGUGGGGAAUAUUGCACAAUGGGGGAAACCCUGAUGCAGCAACGCCGCGUGAGUGAUGACGGCCUUCGGGUUGUAAAGCUCUGUCUUCAGGGACGAUAAUGACGGUACCUGUGGAGGAAGCCACGGCUAACUACGUGCCAGCAGCCGCGGUAUAACGUGGGUGGCGAGCGCUGUCGGGAUUUGCUGGGCGUAAAGGGAGCGUAGGCGGACUUUUAAGUCAGCGGUAAAAAUUCGGGGCCCAACCCGGUCCGGCCGUUGAAAGUGGGGGCCUUGAGUGGGCGAGAAGAAGGCGGGAUGCGUGGUGUAGCGGUGAAAUGCGUAGAUAUCACGCAGAACCCCGAUUGCGAAGGCAGCCUUCCGGCGCCCUACUGACGCUGAGGCGCGAAAGUGCGGGGAUCGAACAGGAUUAGAUACCCGUGUAGUC